UGCGUAGGCGGUUUUAUAAGUCAGAUGUGAAAGCUCCCAGCUUAACUGGGAAAUUGCAUUUGAUACUGUAGAACUUGAAUCACGUUGAGGUUAGCGGAAUGUGACAUGUAGCGGUGAAAUGCAUAGAUAUGUCAUAGAACACCAAUUGCGUAGGCAGCUAACUAGGCGUGUAUUGACGCUGAGGCACGAAAGCGUGGGGAGCGAACAGGAUUAGAUACCCUGGUAGUCC
rnacentral:rRNA from 1 species